CGUCAUGUAAACGUUGUUCCCAAUCUAGUGCAUGAAUCUAUAGGCCUAGGUCUAUAUUAUAUAUCACCACUUAGGAAAUAGACGUAUUCGAAGAAGACGGAAUCGGUGCCAAAACAAAUCGAAUGCGCACACUCGGAAUACGUCAGAAGGCCUAGUAAGCCGACUUCGGACAGUGCCUAGAGAGACACGGCGAUCCUUUGUUCAAGGGCCCUCCGUGCCACCCCUGGGGUUUUUAAUGCCACUCGUGCCCACACUCAAGUGUUUUGAAGAAUGUAAAAUCCAGUGUGUGAUAAACAUGUGUAAAGAAACCUUUCGUAAGAAGCCAGAAGAGCUUUACAACAAUCUUGGACUGGGAGAUGGAGGCCAUCAUAAACUUCUUGUAGGAUGAGUUGCCGCAGACAGAGAUGAAAACCAUGAUGAAUGUCCGUGAGCCAGAGGCUAUGAUUUGUUUAGUACAACAAUGCGAGGGUCUUAACAAAAUUGAGGCGGAAAUAUUCUUGAGGCAGUGUCGG